rnacentral:sRNA from 1 species
UCCACGCUGAAACCGUGGGAACUGCAGC